AAGUACAAAGGAAACAUAACUUCUUAAAGUUUUUAAUGAAUUUUUGAAAAGUAAAGUGUAAAAUGAAAACAGUUAAACACAGAAGUGUAUGUAACAGAGGUGAAAGUACUCAUUCCUCUCCCCAGAUAUACCUAAGGGAGCAGCUAGCUCAACGUGUGUUUAUCUUUGAAGGGAAGCAGAAUUUGCCACCCCAAAACGUGCCUCUGGGGCACAAGGUUUAUCUUGAGCUGGUUAUUUUUUAAGAAAAAGCAGACAAAAGUGGAAACCUUUUUCACUUUUCAGUAGAAGCUCUGAAAAGUGAAGAGAAGUUACCUUUUUGUGAGACAUGCACAGUUACAAGGGAAAUCUCCAUUUGUAAGGGUGUCUCCCUCUCUGCCGGGUACAGGAGGAUGACUUUGUAUCUCUCGAGACUCUUAUCAAUGGAGAAGGCAGAGACUUAAAUCCACAGGACAACCUUAGCCGUUUUGGCAACCUACCCUGGGAGCUGCUGAGAUACCAUACUCACUUGGGAGCCUGCAGAUGGGAUUCUGGAAAACGGGCACAAGCCCGAGAAGGGACACAAUUGGAAAUACGGUUGUAUUAUCAAGCUUUUGACUUGAAUGUCAUAUAUGAAGAUGAAAUGCAUGAAGUCGGAUAUGACCAGAUGGCUUUAAGGAACUAAAGACCCUUGGAAACAACUGACCUGGUACCUUGCUUACAGGGUUCCAGACAGCCUUACUAGGAAGCCACCCUUUCUCGAUGGGAGGCAGUGCUUUCACCUGGGCCUUCAGUACCAAACCACCAAGUCCCCCUGUUUCUGUGAGGUGAGAAAAUGGAUGCCCAGAGUGUGGCGAGGUGACUUGCUGAUACCCUGCUAAUUUCUAGAUUCCAGUCCAGCUUUGCUGAGUCAUCACCCAGCCCCAGGCCUCCCAUAACACCCCACUGUGGCCAGCCAGGUGACA